ensembl:lncRNA
UCAGAGCCUUGCUUCUCAAAGCUGUACAAAAAUCUAGCUAUAUCUGUUUUAUAUUUAUACAUUUCUUUUAAAAAAUAAUUUUAUUUUAUUUUUUAUGGCUGAACCUACGGCAUAUGGAAGUUCCUGGACUAAGGGUUGAAUCGGAGCUAUAGCUGCUGGCCUACACCACAGCCACAGCAACAUCUGAUCCUUAACCUACUGAGUGAGGCCAGGGAUCGAACCCAAAACCUCAAAGACACGAUAUGGAGUUCUUAACCCACUGAGCCACAAUGAGAACUCCCAUUUCAUUUCAUCUUAUUUUUUGGCUGCACCUGCAGCUUGUGGAAUUUCCCGGGCCAGGGAUCAAACCUGAGCCACAUCAGUGACAAUGCCAGGUCCUUAACCUGAUGAGCCACCAGGGAAUGCCUAUAUUUAUACAUUUUCUUCAUCAUAUUUUAUAAAAAUUAACCCAACAUCAAACACAAGAAGCUGGAAUUUGUCGAAACCUGGCAAUCUUCACAAGGAGUCCUCUUUAUUUUGAGUAGGAUGAGAGUGCUCUGGAAGCCAUAAAAAGCCAUCCCCAAAAAGUCACCCCAUCUUUGACUAUUCUGAAGCUCUAAGUGCAGUUCCCAACCAGCAUCUUUCCAGCCCCUGUGCAGAAAGAGAAAGCUCUAGAAUCUGAUCUCCAUCUCAGGUCUGCGGUUCUGACCCCCAGAAGAGGCAAGUUGAGACAAACGCCUGCACGUCACAGCAAUCAACUGUUGUUUGACAAAGAGCCUGUGCCUGCCUUGUCCUGGAAGUUUGUGAUGGAGGAGGAUGGAGGAGGGAACAGCAUCUUCUGGGGGCAGAGAGGCGGAGAAGGAGCCAGCUAACCAGGUGCUCUUCUGUUCCCUGCUACUGGCAAUCGGAUGGCUCCCCACAGGGUUUAUGUCCACCCAAGGCAGUGUUCCCGGACAAAAUAUGUAUUAAACAAGUCUGAAACAGCUGGGAGCAAAUAUUGACCUGCCCGUGAUUCUGACACCCAUUGUGCUGGGAUUGAGUCUCCUGCCUCCAUCUUUAGAACAAAACUCUUUGCUGAGCCCCAGACACCAGAGGACAGCAGCCGUGUGUGUGACUCAGGCUCCUGAGACUUGCUGUGUUCCAAUAGUCUAACUACCCCACACCGCUUUUCUUCCUGAAAUCCUCAUCAGCCACGCCCACGGCUGCAAAAUUAGACACUUAAAAAUCAUUCUUGAGUUCUUUCUCCCCUAUGUCUCAUGUUGAAUCAGCCACUAAAUCUGAUGAUUUACCUCCGAAAUACUUCUUUUUCUUUCCUCUUUACUUUCACUAUGGCUGCCUUAAAACAGUCCAGUGUUUCCAAUUUCCUGACAGAUAAUAAUUGUCGUGAUGCAGACAAUUGGAAUUCCCAGCAAUUCCCCAAAUCAUAAUUUAGUUGGUAUUUUUCCAUAAACACUUUACUGAUGUGUUUGUUUGUUUUAAUGGCUGCACCCAAGACAUAUGGAAGUUCCCAGGCCAGAAACUGAAUCCAAACUGCAGCUGCCACCUAUGCCAUGGCUGCAAAAACCUGGGAUCCUCUAACCCACUGUAGUGGCCAGGGAUCCUGUGCCUCCUCAUCGACCUGAGCCGCUGCAGUUGGAUCUUUAACCCACUGAGCCACAUUGGAAACUCCCAUGUGUUUUUAAAUAAUAGAGAUUGGCCACAAUAAUAAACAAUGAAUAGUUUUCCUGAUAGAGUUGUACUAAAAAUUUGAAAGUUUUUCUGUAAAUAAGGAAAAAAAAUAAGUGCUUGACUAUUACUAUUUUGAACCAAGAUAUUAUGACAAAAUUAUAUAUUCCAAUAAUAUGCAAAAAUGACCUCUGCCUAAUAUAGACAUUUGAUAAUAAUUAGAAGAUAAGAUUAAAAGAAGGGAACAUGAACAGAAAAUAAAUGCCAAGUAAAAAUCAUUUUAAAAAUUGAAAGAUAAUAUCACAGAUAUUUAAUGUUUAAAAAUUAUUCUUAAAAUAAAAUUAGAAAUCACGCAAGAAUGAAUUUCUCUGUUUGAUAGUGUCAAUUCUUGUUUGGGGACAAGCUUUCCAAAUGUAGAAGAAUGUCUUUCAUCUUGUAUUGAUUCCAAUAAAUUCCAAUAAUAAUAAUAAAUUGCAAUUUUUAGUGGAAUUGGUUGGUUGAAAAUGUAUUCAAAAGCAUCUUAAUUGGGCGAUUAAUGAAUAUGUUGCUUGAAAUUAGAUCAUUUUCUUUUUAAACAACAAAA